GUGAGGAAUAUUGGUCAAUGGGCGAAAGCCUGAACCAGCCAUGUCGCGUGAAGGAUGAAGGUCCUAUGGAUUGUAAACUUCUUUUGCAGGAGGGUAAAGUGAGCUACGUGUAGUUCAUUGCAAGUACCCUGCGAAUAAGCAUCGGCUAACUCCGUGUCAGCAGCCGCGGUAAUACGGAGGAUGCGAGCGUUAUCCGGAUUUAUUGGGUUUAAAGGGUGCGUAGGCGGACUAAUUAGUCAGCGGUGAAAUUUUGCGGCUCAACCGUAAAACUGCCGUUGAAACUGUUAGUCUUGAGUGCGGUAGAGGUAGGCGGAAUGUGUGGUGUAGCGGUGAAAUGCUUAGAUAUCACACAGAACACCGAUUGCGUAGGCAGCUUACUGGAGCGCAACUGACGCUGAGGCACGAAAGCGUGGGGAUCGAACAGGAUUAGAAACCCCAGUAGUCC
rnacentral:rRNA from 1 species